GGGCCGUUAGCUCAGUUGGUAGAGCAGCUGACUCUUAAUCAGCGGGUCCCAGGUUCGAGCCCUGGUGCGCCCACCA
rnacentral:tRNA from 1 species